rnacentral:rRNA from 1 species
CGAAAGCCUGACGGAGCAAGACCGCGUGAGGGAGGAAGGUCUGUGGAUUGUAAACCUCUUUUCUCAGGGAAGAAGAACUGACGGUACCUGAGGAAUCAGCAUCGGCUAACUCCGUGCCAGCAGCCGCGGUAAUACGGAGGAGGCAAGCGUUAUCCGGAAUUAUUGGGCGUAAAGAGUCCGUAGGUGGUUCAUCAAGUCUGCUGUUAAAGCGUGCAGCUCAACUGCAUAUAGGCAGUGGAAACUGUUGAACUAGAGUAUGGUAGGGGUAGGGGGAAUUCCCAGUGUAGCGGUGAAAUGCGUAGAGAUUGGGAAGAACACCGGUGGCGAAAGCGCCCUACUGGGCCAUAACUGACACUGAGGGACGAAAGCUAGGGUAGCG